CAACCAUCCUCCCUCACUCCAAACAAAGCAUUAAAAUAAUCUGCUCUUGGGGCUGGGGGUGUGCUUAGUGGUAGAGCACUUGUCUUCUAUGCCAAAGACCUUGGGUUCCAUGCCAGCAAAUCAACAACAAAAAAACCUCUCUGACCUACCUUGUGUGAUAGAUCAUAAGACCUUUCUUCCAGAAGGGGUCCUGCCCAAUACCUCAGAGAAAGGAUUGCCAGAGAGAGAGACCAAGAAAAAUCCAAAUACAGGUCUUGGUGGAUUUCUCCUCUCUGUCUAUUACAAUUGUGAGUGACCCUUAGGAUGGAGAACAAAGGUGUAACACCGUUCGGAACUGGUACGUCUGGUUUGCGUUACAAUCACUCAGGUGGGCGUGUAACCUGUACUGCAGAACUGUAAACCCUUUAGGGUGUAAGGACUCUGCCAUUUAUUUGAUGAUCCCCGCCCUCCAAAACAAAAUAAAACUUGGUGGCUGCAAAAUGAACCAACCAAAACAUGAAUCAGGGGCCCAUUUCCAUCCAGAUCCUUCCUCUCUUCGAGACACAAGUCUACGGGAGGGAAUGGGACUAGGUUGUUGUGGAAUGACAGCCCCUCGCCUCUUCUGGAGACCUCUGUGAAAAGGGGUGAUGGGGCUAAAGUGAGGCGGGGCACUCUUCCCCUACCGACGAGAUGACUUACCAGUGCACCAGCACCGCACGGCCCUCCGAGCGGGCCUGGCUGAUGAAGGCCACGCACCGAUCCAGAUGGCUGAGCAAGUCGGUCUCGGGUUUGUCCAGGGCUGGCACGAAGAGGCUCCGUAGACCUUCGAACCCAGCCCCCUCCUUGAAACCAGGUUCUGAGUCUACCGUCAACACGGCAGAGAUGCCGGCCUCCUUCAAAUGAUCCGGCUCUGCGACUGCCGCCGCCCCACCCAGGUACAGCCCAGGCCGCACUUCCAGCAUCUCCCGGGCAGAGCUGGUUCCGCUAGCGUGCGGAAUCCAGCUCCCGCAGCCAUGGCUCGAGCCCUCCUUUGCCAACAUGGCGGCGCCCAGAAGCCAGGCGGCUGGAAGCCCUACCACCGAGUAACCGGCCGGCUAGAACGUCCUUCCCCCGAGGCCCAGCUGCGCCGGCAACUCGGCGGCUCGGUCGGAGGACUACGACCACAGUCUGCUUGUAGACUUAAGCUCCAGCUGAGCCGGUGCUCCUAUCAGAAGCAGCCCCGUUACCCCUGUUCUACCAUCCCAGCGUAUUGUAAAGGACAACCUUCCCCAAAUAGAGGGUAAUCUCAGGCUGUUUGUCUUGAGACUAACAGGGAAGGGGCAGCAGAGGCAACUGAAUUCAAAUUUUUAGUGAAGGACCCAUCAACUUAAUCAGCAGCAUCCUUUCAUGCAUUUGUAAUAAAAUGUUUUUUUUCAUUGUUUAAGAAGCCA